GAGAGCCGUAUACGCCGAGAGGUGUACGUACGGUUCGGAGAGGGGUUCAGAGAAACCUGCCGUCAGAAGGCGGCAAGGCGCUUUGUUCCUACUCUAC
rnacentral:ncRNA from 2 species